rnacentral:rRNA from 1 species
UAGGGAAUCUUCGGCAAUGGGGGCAACCCUGACCGAGCAACGCCGCGUGAGUGAAGAAGGUUUUCGGAUCGUAAAGCUCUGUUGUAAGUCAAGAACGGGUGUGAGAGUGGAAAGUUCACACUGUGACGGUAGCUUACCAGAAAGGGACGGCUAACUACGUGCCAGCAGCCGCGGUAAUACGUAGGUCCCGAGCGUUGUCCGGAUUUAUUGGGCGUAAAGCGAGCGCAGGCGGUUUGAUAAGUCUGAAGUUAAAGGCUGUGGCUCAACCAUAGUUCGCUUUGGAAACUGUCAAACUUGAGUGCAGAAGGGGAGAGUGGAAUUCCAUGUGUAGCGGUAAAAUGCGUAGAUAUAUGGAGGAACACCGGUGGCGAAAGCGGCUCUCUGGUCUGUAACUGACGCUGAGGCUCGAAAGCGUGGGGAGCGAACAGG